rnacentral:rRNA from 1 species
GAUGAACGCUGGCGGCGUGCCUAAUACAUGCAAGUCGAGCGAACGGACGAGAAGCUUGCUUCUCUGAUGUUAGCGGCGGACGGGUGAGUAACACGUGGAUAACCUACCUAUAAGACUGGGAUAACUUCGGGAAACCGGUGCUAAUACCGGAUAAUAUUUUGAACCGCAUGGUUCAAAAGUGAAAGACGGUCUUGCUGUCACUUACAGAUGGAUCCGCGCUGCAUUAGCUAGUUGGUAAGGUAACGGCUUACCAAGGCAACGAUGCAUAGCCGACCUGAGAGGGUGAUCGGCCACACUGGAACUGAGACACGGUCCAGACUCCUACGGGAGGCAGCAGUAGGGAAUCUUCCGCAAUGGGCGAAAGCCUGACGGAGCAACGCCGCGUGAGUGAUGAAGGUCUUCGGAUCGUAAAACUCUGUUAUUAGGGAAGAACAUAUGUGUAAGUAACUGUGCACAUCUUGACGGUACCUAAUCAGAAAGCCACGGCUAACUACGUG